UACAGAGGGUGCGAGCGUUGUUCGGAAUUACUGGGCGUAAAGCGCUCGCAGGUGGUCCGUCGCGUCGUGCGUGAAAGACCCCGGCUCAACUGGGGAGGGUCGUGCGAUACGGGCGGACUGGAGGCCAGUAGGGGGAUGCGGAAUUCCGGGUGUAGUGGUGGAAUGCGUAGAGAUCCGGAGGAACACCAGCGGCGAAGGCGGCAUCCUGGACUGGUCCUGACACUCAGGAGCGAAAGCGUGGGGAGCGAUCCGG
rnacentral:rRNA from 1 species